CCUAGCUAUGCGCCUCGUGCCUGGGAGCCUUAGGGCCACACGGAAGGGUAGAAAUCAGUUUCAGGUCAGGAGAGAUUCCUGCUCCCAGCCCAGGCCCAGACGGCAACAGAAGCUCAUGGUGAGUUCACCCCGGUCCUGGUCUGGCACCUCAUUGCUGGGGAGGUCUCGGCAGUCCAGAGGAGGUAGCCCCCACCCUGGGCAUCCAUCCGCCCAGGCCCCAGCCUCCGCGGGAAGACCCAAUUACAGAAGAGAGAAGUAUGUGGAGACCCUUGGCUGAGGUUGGGGGUCCUGGAAGCUGGAGGUAGUGUUCCUGGGUAUAGCAUGAUGGGUUGAUGGGUGGGUUUUAUUCUCUUUUUAAGGAUUUUUUAUAUUUUUCAAAUUUCCCUUUUGAAAUGUAUUCAUUUUGCAAUCAGAAAACAAAACAGGCCAGGCGUGGUGGUUCACACCUGUAAUCCCAGCACUUUGGGAGGCUGAGGCGGGUGGAUCACCUGAGGCCAGGAGUCCAAGACCAGCCUGGCCAACUUGGUGAAACCCCGUCUCUACUAAGAAUACAAAAAUUAGCCAGGCGUGGUGGUGGGCACCUGUAGCCCCAGCUACUUGGGAGGCUGAGGCACGAGAAUCGCUCGAACCCAGGAGGCGGAGCUUGCAGUGAGCUGAGAUCGCGCCACUGCACUCCAGCCUGGGCAACAGAGAGAGACUCUGUCUCAAAAAAAAGAAAACAAAACAAACCAGUGAACACUACUCCAAACAAAUGUCCAGGCCCAGAGAUCAGAGGCUGCAAGGUGGGCUCUGUCCCCAUGUCCCCAGCCACACUGCUGGGGAACCCACAGGGUGCCAGGUCCCCUCAGCCCUGUCCCUGCCCCACAGGCCCCUGGAGUGAUUGUAGGCUCUAGACUGCCUCAGUUUGCCCCCAGCCUCCCCUAGGUGCCCGGGGAGCCACUGGCCAGCCUCCGGUCGCACUCCACUCAGGGCUUGACGGGGAAACAGAAACCAGCCUUGAACGCCUUCCCACGCCCCAAAACGCCAGGGUGCACAGUGAGGGGAGCCCUGGUCAGAUGGCACAGAUGGCAUUCCUGCCCGCGAGAGGCCCAGGACCCCGGGGAGCCAGAGGGGCAGGGUGCCCGCAGCGUCCAGGCAAAUGGGCCCAGGCCCCCCGACACCCAGCUGAGGCCAGCUUCCCCCAGAGCGGUUUGGAGCCCUGCCCUGGAGAGGGGGCAGCUCGCCCAGCGUGGGGGUGAUGCCACCAGGUGGUGAGGCUGCUGGGCAGGGCUGGACCCCCUUUUAGACUCCCCUUCCGAUUUCUGUGUCCCUGAGUCUUGCCCAUGCUACAGCCUAACCCUGCCGUGGCCAAGGGACAGCGGGGCAACAGUGCCCUCCCCGAGCUUGCCCUGGGACAGCCGCCUCACUCGGAGGAAGCUGGGUUUUGCCGAAUUUUCUGCAUGAUGGGGCUCCGUGGGCUGGGGGCCACUUGCCUCCCUGCACCCGUCCCAGGACCCCAGGCUGCAAGCUGGAAACCCCAUGGGGGCGAGUGGAGCCCUGGGACUCCACAGGAGAGGGUCCUCUGUGACAAGAGGCUCCAGGGGACACAGGCUUGCGAACAUGGGGGCUGGGGUGGGGUCAAGGUAUGAACAGCGCAGGCCUAGAAGCCUCAGACUCUGAGGGGCAGGAAAGAGUCCCCAAAACGGAAUCAGAGGAGGAGCCCGGGGUGGGGGGAGGAGGAAAGGGGCGCAGUGGGCGCUGCCAUCCCUCCUUGGGGCACAUUUCUUCCCGCCCUGACCAAGAGGAAGGGACCCUCCUUCCUCCAGAAAGGACUUCUCCGAGCCCAGGACACACGAGGAAAGCGAGGCUCAGUCACCAGGAAGCCCUCACUCUCCGUCAAGGCCACCAAACGGGAAGAAGGGGAGCCAGGAUUUGAUCCCAGGCUUCCCUCCCAGCCUGCACGCUGCUGCACUACCCAACCCUGAGGACCCCAAGAACCUCUGAGAAUGUGGGAUUUUGGUUCUGAGCCUCCACGGGGCCCGUUGGUGGCCUCUGGUUCAGGACAACCAGAAUUGGCCCAGACAGCCAAGCAGCCAAGGGGCAGGCUUUGUAGAGUGUGGGGGUCUGUCCUCCCUCAUGGCCAGAAGCAGAUCCCACCCCUCAAAUGCAGGUGGGGUGGGGCAGGGGCUCCGGCUCCGUCAUCUGGGCUCCAGUGAGGCUGCCCGCUCCUGCUCACCUGCACAGGAGGCUGAGGGUGG
rnacentral:lncRNA from 1 species